rnacentral:rRNA from 1 species
UGGAGCUUGCGGUUUAAUUGGAUUCAACGCCGGAAAUCUACCGGGACCGACAGCAAUAUGAAGGCCAGGCUGAAGACUUUGCCGGAUUAGCUGAGAGGUGGUGCAUGGCCGUCGUCAGUUCGUACUGUGAAGCAUCCUGUUAAGUCAGGCAACGAGCGAGACCCACGCCCACAGUUGCCAGCGUACUCUCUGGAGUGACGGGUACACUGUGGGGACCGCCGCUGCUAAAGCGGAGGAAGGAAUGGGCAACGGUAGGUCAGUAUGCCCCGAAUAUCCCGGGCUACACGCGAGCUACAAUGGUUGGUACAAUGGGUAUCUACCCCGAAAGGGGAUGGGAAUCUCCUAAAACCAAUCUUAGUUCGGAUUGAGGGCUGCAACUCGCCCUCAUGAAGCUGGAAUCCGUAGUAAUCGCGUUUCAACAGAACGCGGUGAAUACGUCCCUGCUCCUU